rnacentral:rRNA from 1 species
GGUUACUGCUAUCGGUGUUCGCCUAAGCCAUGCGAGUCAUAUGUUCUUCGUGAACAUGGCGUACUGCUCAGUAACACGUGGAUAACCUGCCCUUGGGACCGGGAUAACCCCGGGAAACUGGGGAUAAUACCGGAUAACGCAUAUCUGCUGGAAUGCUUUAUGCGUAAAAUGGAUUUGUCUGCCCAAGGAUGGGUCUGCGGCCUAUCAGGUAGUAGUGGGUGUAAUGUACCUACUAGCCUACGACGGGUACGGGUUGUGAGAGCAAGAGCCCGGAGAUGGAUUCUGAGACAUGAAUCCAGGCCCUACGGGGCGCAGCAGGCGCGAAAACUUUACAAUGCGGGAAACCGUGAUAAGGGGACACCGAGUGCCAGCAUCAUAUGUUGGCUGUCCAGAUGUGUAAAAUACAUCUGUUAGC